rnacentral:lncRNA from 1 species
UACUGAUUAUAGUCUGAUAGCAACAAGUAGAAAUUUACAUUUGGCAUCAAUUGCCCUCAGUGCUAACUAGGAACAGAAGCCACAAAACUGGGAAGCUAGCAGCGAUAAAUUUACAACCUUGACAAAGAGAGAAAUAUGAAGAUGAAGCUAAUGGUUUCGAGCUCUCUCAGUCCAGAGGCAGUCAUCCUGUUGUUGAAGUAACAUCUUUUUACCUUUCUCAGGAUGAAAUAGCUAAAAUUCAUUUUAUCAGCUGAGAGAGGGGAAAAUAUGACACACAGACUGCCUGGUUAUAGGACUGUCAUGCUGUGGAGUCCCAUCUGCCCUUCCCAAUAAAUGAACCUAGAGGAGUCUAGAACUAGUGAGAACCCAGGCGUCCUGUCUGCUCUGCUGUGUUUUUGCUGUGCAAGACAUCUCUGUUCUCUUCUAAAGGAGUAUCAAUUGCUCUGAGGUUGCCAAAGUUCUCCUAUCUGGUAAGACUGAAAGGAGAAAGGAGGAAGACAGAAUCUUCAAAAUGUUUAAAGGCUUGCUGAAAACAGAGCCCAGUGCACGGGAACUAAACCUGCAAUGGCCCCAACCUGAUCCUGAGGAUCAGGCACAAAUCCAGGGUCACAACGGUGCCUCACCACCAGUGUUUGCUUCCUUCUUGAAUCCAUACAGCGAGUCAGCCCUGGCUAGAUCUUUUUAAUUCAAUGUAAACUGGAAUGAAGAGUUUUGCCCUGAGUCAUGUGGACCUCAUGCAUCCUCAGGUAAUGCCCUGAUCGUAAAACUAUUUGUGAAUCCCUUCCUGCAGUUAGAAAGCUCAAAGUCAUGGUUUUGUGUAUUUUUAUUUGUUUGUUUUUGUCUUGAAAUAUUAUAAAUGUCCUGCUUUUAUUCCAAAGCAAAAUGAAAAUGACUUUUUGGAACUUCUCAAGUUGUUACAAAACAAAACUGUCAGGUUUUUUCCUUCGGGUCUGUAGCUGAAGAGCUGCCUUGAUCCUCCUUUGUACAUUUCAGUUUAUAUUUGUAUCUGGAACAUUCAAAAAAGCAUCAUAAGUUAUAAAUUUUGACUAUAAUGGCAAAUUUAUGUAGCAAAUAAUGCAAACUGAGACUUUAAACCAAUGCCUUCCCUCAUGCUUCAUAGUAUCAAUUACCAAAUAAAAUGUAUGUCCCAGUAUGAUCUUAGCA